GCCUCUGUGGCGCAAUUGGCUAGCGCGUUCGGCUGUUAACCGGAAGGCUGGUGGUUCUAUCCCACCCAGGGGCG
rnacentral:tRNA from 1 species